UACGUAGGAUGCAAGCGUUGUCCGGAAUUAUUGGGCGUAAAGGGCUCGUAGGCGGUCUGUUGCGUCGGGAGUGAAAACUCAGGGCUUAACCCUGAGCCUGCUUCCGAUACGGGCAGACUAGAGGUAUGCAGGGGAGAACGGAAUUCCUGGUGUAGCGGUGAAAUGCGCAGAUAUCAGGAGGAACACCGAUGGCGAAGGCAGGUCUCUGGGCAUUAACUGACGCUGAGGAGCGAAAGCAUGGGGAGCGAACAGG
rnacentral:rRNA from 1 species